rnacentral:lncRNA from 1 species
ACUGGAUGAACAACUGCACCGAGGACUGGGAUCUCAACUCAAGCUUUGGUCCUGGAAACUGCUGGAGAUUAACAGACAAAUUCAAAAAGGAAUUUAUCACCAUUUCAGACAAUCUUUAAAAAAAAACAUGUUGGCAGUUUUUCUCUGUCAACACUUGCUAUUUAUUCACCAUAAUUAUGAUUUUAUGAUUUCACUUAAUUCAAACAACCUGGAGGGAAAUGAUUGAAGUUGCAACCCCAAACCCAGCACAGCAGGGCGUAGGGGGAGAUGAUGACAACUUCCCGCCAGCAUACUACAGGAGAGUUGGCAGGCCCGCGGAGCUGCUCCUGCUCACGAGGUGUACUGGGCAGGACCAAUGAGAGCUGGUGUAGUGGCAGUUCUUCUGUAUAAUUAUCUACUGACCAGAGAUGAGUCCUUCAUUGAAAAAACAGGAAUCCUCUUUUGCUGCGGAUCAUCACAGGUGUGAGGAUGUUACACAACGAUCAAGAGCAAGUUGAAAUAACUACUGUACACUGCUUAUUUAUAUCAAAUAAAAUACUUUUUCAACAUAACAGCGGUAGACUUUUUAACAGUCUCCAGACAUUUGAAUUUCUGAGACAAAUGUAGGCACUUUUCAAAAAUCUAUUUGAUUUUUGUUCGGACUGUCAGAAGAGUUAAUGCCUGAUACAUUUUGAGGCCUUCGGUGUUGUGAAGGGAAUAUCCUGCUCAGUCAGUGUUCGUGAGGCUCUACUUGAGACCAUUGGUCUUUUGCCAAUACAGUUUUCCUGUGUUUGGGAGGAAUUGACGUGAUUCAAGACUUGUCCUCCAUACUUUGUUACAUAAUUUAGCGUUGUGUGUGCCAGGGUCAGGAAGCGCGUGCAGCACAUCAGUUGCAACGACGGCUACGCGAG